UACGUAGGGUGCGAGCGUUGUCCGGAAUCACUGGGCGUAAAGGGCGCGUAGGUGGCGCCGCAAGUCCAUGGUGAAAGCUCGAUGCUCAACAUCGAGUCGGCCACGGAGACUGCGGGGCUCGAGCACUGUAGGGGCAGAUGGAAUUCCGGGUGUAGCGGUGGAAUGCGUAGAGAUCCGGAAGAACACCGGUGGCGAAGGCGGUUUUCUAGCUUAUACCUGACGCUGAGGCGCGAAAGCAAGGGGAUCAAACAGG
rnacentral:rRNA from 1 species